rnacentral:rRNA from 1 species
GACGAACGCUGGCGGCGUGGAUUAGGCAUGCAAGUCGAACGGUAUCAUCCUUUCGGGGGUGAGAGAGUGGCGAACUGGUGAGUAACACGUAGGUUAUCUACCCUCAAGACGGGGACAACCCAGGGAAACUUGGGCUAAUACCGGAUGUGAGCAACUUUUAGUUGUUUGAAAGGUGGCGUAAGCUGUCGCUUGGGGAUGAGCCUGCGUCCUAUUAGUUAGUUGGUGAGGUAACGGCUCACCUAGGCAAUGAUAGGUAGGCGGCCUUAACGGGUGGUCGCCCACACUGGGAUUGAGAUACGGCCCAGACUCCUACGGGAGGCAGCAGUCGAGAAUAGUCUACAAUGGUCGGAAGACUGAUAGUGCGACGCCGCGUGAACGAUGAAUCCCUUCGGGGUGUAAAGUUCUUUUAUAUGUGAGCAGUGCUUCUUAUAUUAACAGUAUGGGGAGAGAGAUAUUAGCAUAUGAAUAAGCAACGGCUAACUCCGUGCCAGCAGCGCGGUAAUA